rnacentral:rRNA from 1 species
GACGAACGCUGGCGGCGUGCCUAAUACAUGCAAGUCGAACGAAGCUGUUUUAACUGGUGCUUGCACCGACUUAAACAACUGAGUGGCGAACGGGUGAGUAACACGUGGGUAACCUGCCCCAAAGCGGGGGAUAACAUUUGGAAACAGAUGCUAAUACCGCAUAACCACAGAAACCACAUGGUUUCUGUGUCAAAGAUGGUUUCGGCUAUCACUUUGGGAUGGACCCGCGGCGUAUUAGCUAGUUGGUAAGGUAAUGGCUUACCAAGGCAAUGAUACGUAGCCGAACUGGGUGGUUGAUCGGCCACAUUGGGACUGAGACACGGCCCAAACUCCUACGGGAGGCAGCAGUAGGGAAUCUUCCACAAUGGACGAAAGUCUGAUGGAGCAACGCCGCGUGAGUGAAGAAGGUUUUCGGAUCGUAAAACUCUGUUGUCAGAGAAGAACGUGUACGAGAGUAACUGCUCGUGCAGUGACGGUAUCUGGCCAGAAAGCCACGGCUAACUACGUGCCAGCAGCCGCCGUAA